CCUACGGGAGGCUGCAGUGAGGAAUAUUGGUCAAUGGGCGAGAGCCUGAACCAGCCAAGUCGCGUGAGGGAGUACUGCCCUAUGGGUUGUAAACCUCUUUUGUCGGGGAGAAAAAGCCGGACGGGUCCGGCUGUGAGAGUACCCGAAGAAAAAGCAUCGGCGAACUCCGUGCCAGCAGCCGCGGUAAGACGGAGGAUGCGAGCGUUCUCCGGAUUUAAUGGGUGUAAAGGGGGCGCAGGCGGAUUUUUAAGUCAGCGGUCAAAUCGUGGGGGUCACCCCCAUCCCGCCGUUGAAACUGGGGAUCUAGAGUGUGCGAGAGGUAUGCGGCAUGCGUGUUGUAGCGGUGACAUGCCUCGAUAUCACGCAGAACCCCGAUUGCGAAGGCAGCCUACCGGUGCACAACUGACGCUCAGGCACGAAAGCGUGGGUAUCGAACAGGAUUAGAUACCCCAGUAGUC
rnacentral:rRNA from 1 species